UGUGUCUGUAACCAGCUAAUGAGCUGCAACAGAGCCUGGCCUUCAUUUUCAGCAAAUUAAGUUCAUCCCUCAUAGGAAUUGUGGUCUGGCUGUGGCACCGCUCCUAGGUGAACAACAAAGAAGACUUGGAAACUCAGUGAUCAGGGAUUGGAAAUGAUGGUGAUGGAAAGUGGAAUAUCAUUGAUGCUGAACAUUCAAACCUCACUGAUCUCAGAAAAGACAUGACAAACUCCAAAAGGAAACCCAAGCAGCUAUUUGGCUCCCUUAAUUAAUGAAGUCGCCCAGUAUGGAUAAUUCAGGUGGGAUUUUUCUUGCCUUUGGAAAAAAUAAAUCUCUUACCAGAGAUAUGAAAAAUUCAGCUGAAUUUAUUUAUGGCCCUGGUAAAGGUCUUUUCAUGCUCUACAAUGACAAUAUUUUUACAAAACCUACAGGUCACCAAUUUACUUGGUUAUUAAAAGCUUUACUGCAUCAUAUACGAAUCAAAGUGGAGGGGUCAUGCCAAGUCCUUACUCAGAAGGAGAAGAUAAUGGAAGAGAUGCAGAACACCCAGGCAAGGUUCUCUAAACAUGAGUAUGCCUUUGGGGGAAGACAGAAGAACAUGGAAGCCAUGUGAAAAAAAUGGAUCCUAAG
rnacentral:lncRNA from 1 species